AUUGCACGCAGGCGGCAAGCCUAACACAUGCACGUCUCACGAGUAGCUGACGUGUGAGUAAUGUCUGGGAAACUGCCUGAUGGAGGGGGAUAACUACUGGAAACGGUAGCUCAUACCGCAUACCAUCGGAUGUGCCCAGAUGGGAUUAGCUAGUAGGUGGGGUAAAGGCUCACCUAGGCGACGAUCCCUAGCUGGUCUGCGAGGAUGACCAGACACACUGGAACUGAGAAACGGUCCAGACUCCUACGGGAGGCAGCAGUGGGGAAUAUUGAACAAUGGGCGCAAGCCGGAUGCAGCCAUGCCGCGUGUAUGAAGAAGGCCUUCGGGUGGUAAAGUACUUUCAGCGGGGAGGCGUUACCCGCAGAAGAAGCACCGGCUAACUCCGUGCCAGCAGCCGCGGUAAUAC
rnacentral:rRNA from 1 species